rnacentral:pre_miRNA from 1 species
CCAUAAUAGCUCUUUAGUUGUAGAAUGGAUAUGAUACAUGUAACAAGUUGGCUGUCAAUGAACAUUUCAAAGGUCAUGCUAGUGGAAUCUCUUUGAGAUGUUCAUGGACAGCCAGCUUAUUACAUGUAUAAUAUCCAUUGUACAAUUACAGAGCUAUCUAGUGG